rnacentral:lncRNA from 9 species
UGAGUCCAGAUUCUCUGAUUUGAAGGACCAUACUCUUUGGACAGCUGCACCUUGCCUCUUUAUAGAUUAUUCUCUUAUUAGAAUUUUUAUUUUCUUUCCACGUGUCAGAGGUUGUACAGUUCUAACCAAGACUUCAGAUAUUCAAGAGCCAUCAAAGAAAAUAGGAGAGAGCGGAAAUGAAGAAUAUAGAAGGCUGAAGAAAGUCACAGCUUUAUACUGCAACUGAAGGGAAGCCCAGGUCGCCCAGGAGGAGAUACUGAGAAUAACUUCUGCUGACUCCAGGCACAAACAGUUCCUGACAGCACUGGACACACAAUCACUCCCCAGUCAACUGACCGCACUUGCUAAACUGUAACUGAUAGAAAUAACCUUGACAAAAAACAGGCCUUCUAAACUCCCCUAUAUAUUCUAGAAGUCCCAAGACCAUGGUGCAACAGUCUGGCCUCAAACCUGACUGCUGCCCCUCCUUGCUGAUUAAAGGCAAUCUGGUUCUGUUGAGACUGUCUCCUUUUUUUCUGUAACCACCUCUCCUUUCCUUAUAGCAAUCACUGGAAAAUAUGAUAGGAAUAAUGAACAGAAUUUACAGUGAGAUUAUUAGCAAUGCUGAAUUUCUUCCCUACUUUUGAUUUUCUUUUGAAACUGC